GAUGAACGCUGGCGGCGUGCCUAAUACAUGCAAGUCGAGCGAACAGAUGAGGAGCUUGCUCCUCUGACGUUAGCGGCGGACGGGUGAGUAACACGUGGAUAACCUACCUAUAGGACUGGGAUAACUUCGGGAAACCGGAGCUAAUACCGGAUAAUAUAUUGAACCGCAUGGUUCAAUAGUGAAAGACGGUUUUGCUGUCACUUAUAGAUGGAUCCGCGCCGCAUUAGCUAGUUGGUAAGGUAACGGCUUACCAAGGCAACGAUGCGUAGCCGACCUGAGAGGGUGAUCGGCCACACUGGAACUGAGACACGGUCCAGACUCCUACGGGAGGCAGCAGUAGGGAAUCUUCCGCAAUGGGCGAAAGCCUGACGGAGCAACGCCGCGUGAGUGAUGAAGGUCUUCGGAUCGUAAAACUCUGUUAUUAGGGAAGAACAAAUGUGUAAGUAACUAUGCACGUCUUGACGGUACCUAAUCAGAAAGUCACGGCUAACUACGUG
rnacentral:rRNA from 1 species